UACAGAGGGUGCAAGCGUUAAUCGGAAUUACUGGGCGUAAAGCGAGCGUAGGUGGCUUGAUAAGUCAGAUGUGAAAUCCCCGGGCUUAACCUGGGAACUGCAUCUGAUACUGUCAGGCUAGAGUAGGUGAGAGGAAGGUAGAAUUCCAGGUGUAGCGGUGAAAUGCGUAGAGAUCUGGAGGAAUACCGAUGGCGAAGGCAGCCUUCUGGCAUCAUACUGACACUGAGGCUCGAAAGCGUGGGGAGCAAACAGG
rnacentral:rRNA from 1 species